GCCUCUGUAGCUCAGCUGGUUAGAGCGCUGCACCGGAAUCACCUGUAGGGCCGUAGGUUCAAUUCCUACCAGAGGAC